rnacentral:rRNA from 1 species
GACGAACGCUGGCGGCGUGCCUAAUGCAUGCAAGUCGAGCGACGCACACCGAAGGGGUAACCCAUCGGUAUGACGGAGCGGCGAACGGGUGAGUAACACGUGAGCAACCUGCCCCACAGACCGGAAUAGCCCAGGGAAACCUGGAUUAAUGCCGGAUACCCUCGAGUGACCACAUGAUCAUUUGAGGAAAUGCCUUUGUGCUGUGGGAUGGGCUCGCGGCUUAUCAGCUAGUUGGUGGGGUAACGGCCUACCAAGGCAUCGACGAGUAGCUGGUCUGAGAGGACGAUCAGCCACACUGGGACUGAGACACGGCCCAGACUCCUACGGGAGGAG